CGAUGUACCUGGACGAAUGAAAAAGAAUAUUAUUAAAAAAAAUAUUUAAAAAUAUUUGAGAAAAAUAUAGGUGAAAAUUAAAAAAAAAAUAUUACUAAAAAAAUAUUUGCUUUAUAUUUGAGAAACAUAUAGGUGAAAAUAAGAAAAUACCAAAAAAUAUACUACCAAAAAAAGAUAUGCUCUACAUAUUGUGUAAUAAGUAUUAUGAUGAGAUAAAAUUAGAUACUGCAUAUAUUAUACGUGAAAAUAUUAAAAAAUGCGUAAACUAUUUUGACAGGUAUUAUGUGAUAGGUAUUAUGAUGAGAUAAGAUUAUAUAUUAUUAUAAAUAUUAUAUGUGAGGGUAUUAAGAUAUAUUCUAUAUUUGAGAAAUGCGUAAAAUGUUUUAGCGGGUAUUACUUAAAUAUUGAAUAUUUUGCUAAAAAAAUUCAAAAUUAUAUUUAAUUACUUUUGCUUGGGCACGUAUUAAAUUUUGUCUAGAAAUAUUCUACGCUUUUAUGGCGCAUUACUUAAAUAUUAAAUAUUUUGCUAAAAAUGUUUAAAAUUAUAUUUAAUUAACGAUUUAGUUUUGAUUGGGCGGAUAUUGAAAUUUUUUAGCAAUAUGUAACGUUUAUGGCAUGCCAAAUUUUAAUAAUCAUUAAAAUUGAAUCUAUCAUCUCACGUAAGAAAAUCUACUAUCAUGAAUUAAAAUUUAAAUUAACAAAUUUGCGAGUAUUAAAUUUUGACGGACAUUACAAAUUUUAAAUUUAAUUUUGAGUAUUACGUGAUUGACGGGUAUUACAUUUGAGAAAAAAAAUAUUUGAGAAAAAGCGUGCAUAUAAGAUAAAUUUAAUUGUACAUAUUACGUAAUUGGCGAAUAUUACGUUAAAUAGAAGAUAAAUUUAAUUUUAUAUAUUAUAUGAUUGGCGGGUAUUGCAUUAUAUUUAUCAAAUUUGUGAGUAUUAAAUUUUUGCGGACAUUACAAAUUUAAAAUUUAAUUCGAGAAUUACGUGAUUGGUAAUUUGCGAGUAUUAAAUUUUGACAGACAUUACAAAUUUAAAUUUUAAUUUUGAGUAUUACGUGAUUGGCGAGUAUUACGUUUGAGAAAGAAAAUAUUUGAGAAAAAGCGUGCAUAUGACAUAAAUUUAAUUGUACAUAUUACGUGAUUGGCGAAUAUUACGUUAAAUAGAAGGUAAAUUUAAUUUUAUGUAUUAUAUAAUUGGCGGAUAUUAUAUUAUAUUUAUUAAAUUUGUGAGUAUUAAAUUUUGGCGGACAUUACAAAUUUGAAAUUUAAUUUUGAGUAUUACGUAAUUGGCGAGUAUUACGUUUGAGAAAGAGUAUUACGUGGAAAGAAAAUAUUUGAGAAAAUGCUUAUGAGAUAAAUUUAAUUGUACAUAUUACGUGAUUGACAAAUAUUACGUUAAAUAGGAGAUAAAUUUAAUUUUACGUAUUAUAUGAUUGGCGGGUAUUACAUUAUAUUUGAGAUAAAUUUAAUUUUACGUAUUACAUGAUUGGCGGGUAGAAAGAAAAUAUUUGCGAAACGCGUAAAUAGGAGAUAAGGGAUAUAGAUGAUAUUAUUAUUGCAAAAAGUGACAUAUACUUUUAUUUUUAUUCGUUAGAUAAAAUCUAAUGGUAAAAAAUUAAUUUCUUUAUUUGAGAAUAAAUUAUUAUUUAGUGAAUGAUUUGAAAUAAUAAUAUCAUCUAUAUCCCUUAUCUCCUAUUUACGCGUUUCGCAAAUAUUUUCUUUCUACCCGCCAAUCAUGUAAUACGUAAAAUUAAAUUUAUCUCAAAUAUAAUGUAAUACCCGCCAAUCAUAUAAUACGUAAAAUUAAAUUUAUCUCCUAUUUAACGUAAUAUUUGUCAAUCACGUAAUAUGUACAAUUAAAUUUAUCUCAUAAGCAUUUUCUCAAAUAUUUUCUUUCCACGUAAUACUCUUUCUCAAACGUAAUACUCGCCAAUUACGUAAUACUCAAAAUUAAAUUUCAAAUUUGUAAUGUCCGCCAAAAUUUAAUACUCACAAAUUUAAUAAAUAUAAUAUAAUAUCCGCCAAUUAUAUAAUACAUAAAAUUAAAUUUACCUUCUAUUUAACGUAAUAUUCGCCAAUCACGUAAUAUGUACAAUUAAAUUUAUGUCAUAUGCACGCUUUUUCUCAAAUAUUUUCUUUCUCAAACGUAAUACUCGCCAAUCACGUAAUACUCAAAAUUAAAAUUUAAAUUUGUAAUGUCUGUCAAAAUUUAAUACUCGCAAAUUACCAAUCACGUAAUUCUCGAAUUAAAUUUUAAAUUUGUAAUGUCCGCAAAAAUUUAAUACUCACAAAUUUGAUAAAUAUAAUGCAAUACCCGCCAAUCAUAUAAUAUAUAAAAUUAAAUUUAUCUUCUAUUUAACGUAAUAUUCGCCAAUUACGUAAUAUGUACAAUUAAAUUUAUCUUAUAUGCACGCUUUUUCUCAAAUAUUUUUUUUCUCAAAUGUAAUACCCGUCAAUCACGUAAUACUCAAAAUUAAAUUUAAAAUUUGUAAUGUCCGUCAAAAUUUAAUACUCGCAAAUUUGUUAAUUUAAAUUUUAAUUCAUGAUAGUAGAUUUUCUUACGUGAGAUGAUAGAUUCAAUUUUAAUGAUUAUUAAAAUUUGGCAUGCCAUAAACGUUACAUAUUGCUAAAAAAUUUCAAUAUCCGCCCAAUCAAAACUAAAUCGUUAAUUAAAUAUAAUUUUAAACAUUUUUAGCAAAAUAUUUAAUAUUUAAGUAAU
rnacentral:lncRNA from 1 species